rnacentral:tRNA from 1 species
GAGGGGGUGCCGGAGUGGCCAAACGGGACAGACUCAAGAUCUGUUGGCUUAGUGCCUACCAGGGUUCAAAUCCCUGCCCCCUCA